AAUGAACGCUGGCGGCGCGCCUAAUACAUGCAAGUCGAGCGAGAAGACGUAGCAAUACGUUUGUAAAGCGGCGAACGGGUGAGGAAUACAUGGGUAACCUACCCUCGAGUGGGGAAUAACUAGCCGAAAGGUUAGCUAAUACCGCGUACGCUUCUUGGACUUCGGUUCAGGGAGGAAAGCGAUACCGUGGGUAUCGCGCUCUUGGAUGGGCUCAUGUCCUAUCAGCUUGUUGGUGAGGUAACGGCUCACCAAGGCUUCGACGGGUAGCUGGUCUGAGAGGACGAUCAGCCACACUGGCACUGCGACACGGGCCAGACUCCUACGGGAGGCAGCAGUAAGGAAUAUUGCGCAA
rnacentral:rRNA from 1 species